UACAGAGGGUGCAAGCGUUAAUCGGAAUUACUGGGCGUAAAGCGUGCGCAGGCGGCUUUGCAAGACAGAUGUGAAAUCCCCGGGCUCAACCUGGGAACUGCAUUUGUGACUGCAAGGCUGGAGUACGGUAGAGGGGGAUGGAAUUCCGCGUGUAGCAGUGAAAUGCGUAGAUAUGCGGAGGAACACCGAUGGCGAAGGCAAUCCCCUGGACCUGUACUGACGCUCAUGCACGAAAGCGUGGGGAGCAAACAGG
rnacentral:rRNA from 1 species